rnacentral:rRNA from 1 species
AUUGAACGCUGGCGGCAUGCCUUACACAUGCAAGUCGAACGGCAGCACGGGAGCAAUCCUGGUGGCGAGUGGCGAACGGGUGAGUAAUACAUCGGAACGUGCCCAGUCGUGGGGGAUAGCCCGGCGAAAGCCGGAUUAAUACCGCAUGAGACCUGAGGGCGAAAGCGGGGGAUCGCAAGACCUCGCGCUAUUGGAGCGGCCGAUGUCAGAUUAGCUAGUUGGUGGGGUAAAGGCCUACCAAGGCAACGAUCUGUAGUUGGUCUGAGAGGACGCACAGCCACAGUGGGACUGGGACAAGGCCGAGACUCCUACGGGAGGCAGCAGUGGGGUAUUUUGGACAAUGGGCGCAAGCCUGAUCCAGCAAUGCCGCGUGCAGGAAGAAGGCCUGCGGGUUGUAAACUGCUUUUGUCAGGGAAGAAAUCUUCUGGGCUAAUAACCUGGGAGGAUGACGGUACCUGAAGAAUAAGCACCGGCUAACUACGUGCCAGCCGCCGCAGUAAUAC